GGAAGCCUCGUGGUGCCAAGUCUAGGUGUGGACUCUUAACUGAGGCCAUUUUGUUCUAGUGACCCUGGAGGGCGAACUCCAUCUUUAACUCAAAAAACAUCUGUCUUUCUUCGUCUCCCUUUUGGUUUCGACCUCCUGAAGUGCACGAGGUCUCCCCCUCUCCGGGCUGCUCACACCUCUUCCCUUCCUUUCCCCUCCAUCUCUUUUUCAGACCAUUGGCUUCUAUCUCAGUAGCGGGGAUGUUUCUCAGGCUCCUGGUCUACUCAGCCAGCAGCGCUCCAUUUCUUCAGCAUCAGAUAUGGUGACUUUCUAUCCCUAAUUCUUAGAGGCAGCAGGCUCUGGUGGUUCACUGUCAAGAAACUAGAUGGAUUCUGACACAUGUGAUCUAAGUUCCUUCCUUUAAGUGCCUUCUGGACUCCGUGAAAUUUAAAGGCUAGGAAGGACUCCACAUGAAUCCUUCUGCGUCUGGCUUAUUUCAGCUAACAGGACAACCUCCAGUUCCAUCCAUGUGCGUGCAAAUUACAUCAUUUCAUUCUUUACCAAUGAAGAGACCGUUUUUAUAUAUCCCUCUUUCCACUGUCGUCUGUCGGUUGAUGGAUGUCCAGGCUGAUUCCAUAUCUUGUCUGUAGUGAACGGUCUUGCAAUAAAGACGAGUGUACAGGUGUCUGCGGACAUGUUGACUUGGAUUCCUUUGGGUGUUAUUCCCAGGGGUGGUACACCCAGAUGUAUGGUGGCCCAGAGAGAACAUUUUCCC
rnacentral:lncRNA from 1 species